AACGAACGCUGGCGGCAGGCCUAACACAUGCAAGUCGAGCGCCCCGCAAGGGGAGCGGCGGACGGGUGAGUAACGCGUGGGAACGUACCCUUUGCUACGGAAUAGCCUCGGGAAACUGGGAGUAAUACCGUAUGUGCCCUUCGGGGGAAAGAUUUAUCGGCAAAGGAUCGGCCCGCGUUGGAUUAGGUAGUUGGUGGGGUAAUGGCCUACCAAGCCGACGAUCCAUAGCUGGUUUGAGAGGAUGAUCAGCCACACUGGGACUGAGACACGGCCCAGACUCCUACGGGAGGCAGCAGUGGGGAAUCUUAGACAAUGGGCGCAAGCCUGAUCUAGCCAUGCCGCGUGAGCGAUGAAGGCCUUAGGGUUGUAAAGCUCUUUCAGUGGGGAAGAUAAUGACUGUACCCACAGAAGAAGCCCGGCUAACUCCGUGCCAGCAGCCGCGGUAAUGUACAGUG
rnacentral:rRNA from 1 species